rnacentral:rRNA from 1 species
UACGUAGGGUGCAAGCGUUGUCCGGAAUUAUUGGGCGUAAAGAGCUCGUAGGCGGUCUGUUGCGUCGGGAGUGAAAACUUACAGCUUAACUGUGAGCGUGCUUUCGAUACGGGCAGACUUGAGGUAUUCAGGGGAGAACGGAAUUCCUGGUGUAGCGGUGAAAUGCGCAGAUAUCAGGAAGAACACCCGUGGCGAAGGCGGCUCUCUGGGACGGUACUGACGCUGAGACGCGAAAGCGUGGGGAGCGAACAGG